AUAAAUAUAUAUAAAUUUGAUUCUGGUUUAAAAAUUUAUUAAUAGCUUGAAAUUUUGAUGAGUUUAAUAUGUAAGUUUUUGCGUGGGAUGUUAUAUAUUUUUUUAAAAAGGAAAUAUAUCUAUAUUAUAUUCGCAGUUUUUAAUUUUAUUUAUUUAAUAUUUUAAGAAAUAGUCAAUCGUAAUUAUAACUAGCAAAAAUUGUGCCAGCAGCUGCGGUUAUACAAUUAGUUAAAGUUAUUCUUAUUAGACUUCCAUUAAUUUGUAUUUAAUUGAGUAUAAUAUUUUUAUUUUUAAGUGAAAUUUAAAUUUAGAUAUAUUAUUCUGGUAUUAUAUUAUGGGAAAUUCCCUUUAUUAAACUAGGAUUAGAUACCCUAUUAUAAGGAAUGUAAAUUUUUGUCUUAGUAUUAUAAGUUAUGAUCUUUAAAUUGAAAGAAUUUGACGGUAAUUUUAAUCAUUUUAGAGGAACCUGUUCUGUAAUUGAUAAUCCACGAUGAAUUUUACCUUUAUUAAUUGUUUGUAUAUCUCUGUCUGAGUGAAUGUUUUAUUAGGACUAAUUUUCUUUGAUUUUUAUCGAAAUUUAUGUCAGGUCAAGGUGCAACUAUAUAAGGGUUUGAAAUGGGUUACAUUUAAUAUUAAUAUAAUUUAUUGGAUUAAAUUAUGGAUUUAAUUUAUGAAAUAGGAUUUAAUUGUAAUGUUUAAUAUAUAUUAUUCAUGAUAUAUGUUCUUGAUUAAGUACAUAUCGCCCGUCACUCUCAUUAUAAGAUGGGAUAAGUCGUAACAAAGUAGUCCUAUCGGAAGAUGGGGCUGGUAUUAUA
rnacentral:ncRNA from 1 species